CUGGUAGCCUCAUGUAACUGACCCUGCCCCCCCAACAUCCUCCUUUGUCUUUAGCUAUAGAUAAUAUUUAAGCGGUGGCUUCUGCCACUUACUUAAUCUAGUUUGAUUCUUAUCUAAAAGUUAUAGGACCACCCAAUAAUGAGACCCUACCAGUGCUGAUACCAUUUUAACAACGUUUUUUUACAUAUUCUUUCCUUCGUCUUGUAAAGAGAUAACUCACAUACCUAUGCCUUAAAUUUAUCCUUACUCUCCACCCAUGUUUGCAGCAGCAGCUCUGACUGCCCAUGGGUCCUGUCCGCAUGCUAUUCCACACUAUUCUCUAAAUAAAAGAGCACUACUGCCAGACCUUGAGACCCCAAGAAACCUUUCUUUUGACUCCUCAGCUCACCCACCUCACAUCAGGGGGAGGCGACCUCAGGACUCAAAUCACGUCCUCAAGUCUCUCCCUCUGAAAUUUCCAAAUGUUUGGUGUAGUUUGAUGUCAUUCUCUCUUUGUGCAGACAAGUCUUAUCCCAAUGUCUCCAGAUGGUUGGCCCCACAGAGGAAAAGGCAGCUUCUCUCUCCCACCAUCCACACGCUAUAGAUUUAUGGCUAAAACCAGUAAUGACCGCUCUUGCCCUGAGAGGAACAACCACACCUAAAUCGUUGAGGGUUGAGUAGUAGAUGUGAGCGAGCAGCGUACCAGACCUAGGAGGUUUAUCGAACCAAUAAGCAGAGGAAGUGACCAAAGUAUCACGGACCAGGUCAUCCUUUAGUAUUGUGAGUGCAUAUUUCUUGUUUCAGUGUACGUGGAUUUAAUCAUCCUUGGAUAGAAAUUAAACAGUUGUUGACUAGUAACCAGAAAUGCGAAGAAGACAGUAAUUCAAAUACUGUAGACAGCUGUGGGGAAAGCGGCAAGGAGUGUAAGUGACAGGCUCUGGCAUCGGUUGGAGACACGUUAGUGCUUUCAGGGGUUAAGUCUUCGGAACGAAGCCUGUAAGGACAGGUAACCCCGUGAGCGCGAGGCCUCCAACAAUAACGAUUUAAACGCUCCAAUCAGAAGACAGACGUUGGCAGAAUGGGGAAAGUGAUUCAACGGUAUACUGCCCCCCAGAGCCCUAGUUUAGGAGUGACGAGAGAGUCACGGUGGAGGCAGUUGUCGCCCGUCCCUCCCCUCGAAGUGACAAGUAAACAGACCGCCGUGGAGCAGCAGGCGUCCGACACCGCGCAGGGAACCCUGACGGACCCCACAGGAGCAGGAGGGGUGGGAACAGGAGAUACAGCCCGUGCCGCCCCCAGCGGUGGAAGGCGGCAUCCGCACCCAGGAGCAACAGGGACUUCAGCACAGCUGGAAACCCAGCCCCCAGUGGCGGCAACCCCACACCAGCUCCACCAGCAGCAGGGGCUGUAAGUCCGCCGUCUCCGCCGACAGUGACAGUGACACCUGUGAACCAGCUCCGCUGGCAGCAGCGCAGCCAGCACCCCAGGACAUCCCGGGAGCAGCAGUGCAGGUGGUGCUGGGCCAGCAGCUCCGAAGCCUGUGGAGAGCCAGUGGAGGAGCCCGAGAGCCAGCUGAGCAGACCCGAGUAACCAGAGACAGGAGCGACCCAAGGGCCUUCAAUGAUGAAGGGAUAAAGAUGCGGUAUAUGUAUACAAUGGAAUAGUACUCAGCCAUAAAAAAGACGAAAUUCUGCCAUUUGCAACCACGUGGACGGACCUUGAGGAUAUUAUGAUAAGCAAAAUAAGCCAGACAGAGACAAACACCAUAUGAUUUCACUCAUGUGUGGAAGAUGAACAAAGAGACACAUAGAUAAAGAGAACAGAUUAGUGGUCACCAGAGGAGAAGGGGGGUGGGGCGAGAGGGGUAAAGGGGCACACAUGUAUGGUGACCGAUAAAAGCUAGACUAUUGGUGGACAUAAUGCCGUCUACACAGACACUGAUGUGUAACAAUGUGCACCUGAAAUUUACACUAUGUUAUACGCCAAUAUGACCUCAAUUAUAAAUAAAUGAAAGACUGACUUUAGAACCAAAGACACAAAUAGGUCAAAAGUGAAAGGAUCGAAAAAGAUGUUCCAAGCAAAUAGUAACCCAAGGCAGCAGGGGCGCUUAGGCUCAUGUUAUGACAAAAUAGACUUGAUCUUUCUUCUGGACUGACCUGUGAUUGACACAUAACAUUGAGUAAGCUUAAGGUAUACGAUGUGAUGAUUUUAGACAUGCAAAGUGAUCACCACAAUGAAGUUAGUUAGCACUCCCUUCACCCCGCAGAAUUACCAUUUGUUGUUAUGGGGAGAACAUUUGAGAUCUACUCUCUCAUCCACUUUCAAGUAUUCAAUACAGUAUUGUCGGUUGUAAUCACCAUGCUGUACAGUAGAUCUCAGAAGUGAUUCCUCUUCUAACUGGCAGUUUGUAACCUUUGACCAACAUCUCCUCAUUUCCCGCACCCCCCAGCCCCUGGAAACCACAAAUCUACCCUUUGCAUGAUUUUGGCUUUUUUAGAUUCCACAUGUAAGUGAUAUCAUACAGUGUUUGUCUUUCUCUGUCUGACUUACCUCACUUAGUACAAUGCCCUGAAGGUCCAUCUAUGUUGUCACAAAGGCAGAAUGUCCUUCUUUUUGUGGGUGAAUAAUAUUCCAUGGUGUGUAUACAUCAAAUGUUCUCUAUCCGUUCAUCCGUUGAUGGACGUUUAGUUUGUUUCCGUGUCUUGGCUACUGUGAACAAUGCUGCAAUGAACAUGGGGGUGCAGACAUCUCUGUGAGAUAGUGAUUUCCAUUCCUUUGGAUAAAUACCCAGAAGUGACAUGGCUAGGUCACAUGGUAGUUCUGUUUUUAUUCUUUUGAGGAAACUCCAUACUGUUUUCCGAAGUGUCUGUACCAUUUACAUUCCCACCAACAAGACACAAAGGUUCCUUUUUCUCCACAUUUUUGGGAGCAAUUGUUAUCUCUUGUCUUUUUAAUGACAGCCAUUCUAACAGCUGUGAGGUGAUAUCUCAGUGGGGCUUUGGUUUGCAUUUCCCUGAUGAUUAGUGAUGUUGAGGAUCUUUUCAUGAACCUAUUGACCAAUUCAGUAUCUUCUUUGAAAAAAUGUCUACUCAGGUCCUUUGCCCAUUUUGUAAUCAGAUUAUUUGAUUUUCUAUUGAUUUGUCUAGGUUCCUUACAUAUUUUGGAUAUUGAUCCCUUAUCAACAUAUGGUUUGCAAAUAUUUCCCCCCAUUCAUAGGUUGUCUUUUCAGUUUAUCAAUUGUUUCUUUUGCUUUACAGAAGCAAAAGAAUGUUGUCACACUUGUUAAUUUUUGUUUUUGUUACCUGUGCUUUUGGUGUCAUAUCCGAAAAAAUCAUUGCCAAGAUCAGAUCAAGGAACUUUGUCUCUAUGUUUUCUCCUAGGAGUUUUAUGGUUUCAGGUCUUAAUUUAAGUCUGUAAUCCACUUCAAGUUAAUUUUUGUGACUGGUGUAAGAUAGGGGUCUAAUUUCAUUCUUUUCCAUGUUAAUAGCCAGUUUUCAUGCCACCAUUUUUUGGAGAGACAGUCCUUUCUCCAUUGAGUAUUCUUGUCUCCCUUGGCAAAUAUUAGUUGAGUGUAUGUGUGUGGGUUUAUUUCUGGGUUCUUCACUCUCUUACGUUUGUCUAUGUGUCUGUUUUUAUGUGAGUACCAGACUGCUGUGAUUACUCUCGCUUUGUAUUUUAGUUUGAAAUCAGGACGUGUGAUGCCUCUGGCUGUGUGCUUUCUUGGGAUUGCUUUGGCUGUUUGGUUCUUUUAUGGUUCUGUAUGAAUAUUAGGAUUAUUUUUCCAUUUCUGAGAGAAACACCAUAGGAAUUUUGCUGGGGAUUGCAUUGACUCCAUAGGUGACUUUGGGUAAUAUGGACAUUUUAACAGCAUUAAUUCUUCCAAUCCAUGAACAUGGAAACUUUCCAUUUAUUUGUGUCUGCUUCAAUUUCUUUCAUCAAUAACACAGAGUUUUCAGUCUACAGAUCUUUCACUCACUUGGUUGAAUUUAUUUCUAAGGAUUUUAUUGUUUUUGGUGCUAUCGUGACUGGGAAUGUUUUCUUUUUUCUUUUUCAGAUACUUAAUUGUUAGCAUAUAGAAAAGGAACUGAUUUUUUUGAAUGAUUUUGUAUCCUGGAACUGAUCUGACUCUGUUUAUUAGUUCUAACAGUUCUCUGGUGGAGAACUUAGGCAUUUCUAUCUAUAAGAUCAAAUCACCUGCAAACAGAGACCAUUUUACUUCUUCCUUUCUGAUUUAAUGCCUUUUACUACUUUUUCUUGCCUAAUUUCUCUGGCUGGGACUUCCAGUACUAUGUGGAAUAGAAGUGGUGAGAGUGGGCAUCCUUGUCUUGUUCCUUAUCUUAAAGGAAAAUCUUUCAACCUUUCACCAUUGAGUGUGAUGUUAGCUGUGGGCUUGUUAGAUAUGUUCCUUCUAUGUCCAAUUUGCUGAGAAUUUUUAUCCUGAAAGGAUACUGAAUUUUGUCAAAUGCUUUUUCUGCAUCUUUUGCGAUGACUGUAUGAUUUUAUCCUUCAUUCUAUUAAUGUUGUGUAUCAUACUUAUUGGUUUUCAUAUGCAGAACCAUCUUAGCAUGACAGGAAUAAAUUCUACUCGAACGUGGUGUAUGAUCCUUUUAGUGUACUUUUAAAUUUGGUUUCCUAGUAUUUUGUUGAGAAUUUUUGCAUCUAUUUUCAUCAAGGAUAUUAAGCUGUACUUUUCUUGUAAUGUCUUUAUCUGACUUUGGUAUUAGGAUAAUUUUGGCCUUAUAAAAUCAGUUUGGGUGUGUUCCCUCCUCUUCAAUAUUUUGCAAGAGUUUGAGAAAUAUUGGCAUUAAUUCUUUAAAUGUUUGGUAGAAUUCACCCAGGAAACCUUCUGAUUCUGGGCUUUCUUCAUUGUGAGGGUUUUGUUUGUUUGGUUUGGGCGUUUUUUUUGGAUAGUGUGGAGCGAUUCCUGGCCUGUUUUUUUUUCUUCUCAGUGUGCUUUUUUUUUGGUGAGGAAGAUUAGCCCUGAGCUAAGGUCUGUUGCCAAUUUUCCUCUUUUUCUUUCUCCCCAAAGCCCCAGUACGUAGUUGUAUAUCCUAGUUGUAUAUCCUUGUAGCUCUUCUGUGGGUCGCCACCUCAGCAUGGCUUGACGAGCAGUGCUAGGUCCAUACCCAGCAUCCAAACCAGCAAACCCUGGUCUACCGAAACAGAGCACCCGAACCUAACACUAUGUCACUGGGCUGGGCCAUGUUGAGAGGUUUUUGAUUACUGAUUCAAUUUUCAUACUUGUUAUUGGCCUGUUCAGAUUUUCUAUUUCUUCAUGACUCAGUCUUGGUAAAUUUUACAUUUCUAGGAAUUAGUCAUUUCUGUUAAGUUAUCCAACAUGUUGACGUAUAAUUAUUCAUAGUAGUCUCUUAUGAUCCUUUCUAUUUCUGUGGUAUCAGUUCUAGUGUUUCCUCUUUCAUUUCUGAUUUUAUUUAUUUGAGUUUUCUCUUUUUUUCCUAGUUAGUUUAGCUGAUGAUUUGUCAAUUUUGUUUAUCUUUUCAAAAUGUCAACUCUUAAUUUUGUUGAUCUUUUGCAUUGUUUUUCUAGUCUAUAUUUCAAUUAUUUCUGCUUUGAUCUUUUUUAUUUCCUUCCUUCUACUAACUUUGGGCUUUGUUUGUUCUUGUUUUUCUAAUUCCUUGAGAUGUAAGGCUAGGUUGUUUAUUUGGGAUCUUUCUCUUUUCUUAAUGUGGGUGUUUAUCACAGUAAACUUCCCUCUUAGAACUACUUUUGCUGCAUCCCAAGUUUUGGUAUUUUAUGUUUCCAUUUUCUUUUGUUUCAAGAUAUUUUUCUAUUUCCCUUUUGACAUCUUCUUUGACCCACUGCUUGCUCAGAAGUGUGUUGUUUAGUUUCCACACAUUUGUGAAUUUUCCAGUUUUCCUCUUGUUAUUGAUUUCUAGUUUCUUACCUUUAUGGUCUGAAAAGACACUUGGUAACUUCAAUCUUCAUACAUUUGUUAAGGCUUGUUUUGUAGCUUAACAUAUGAUGUAUGCUAGAGAAUGUUCUGUGUGUGCUUGAGAAGAAUGUUAUUCUGCUGUUGGAUGCAAUGGUCUGUGUAUGCCUGUUAGGUCCAGUUGGUUAUGAGAAGAAUGUUAUUGUGCUGCUGUUGGGUGGAAUGGUCUGUGUAUGCCUGUUAGGUCCAGUUGGUUAUGAGAAGAAUGUUAUUCUGUUGCUGUUGGGUGGAAUGGUCUGUGUAUGCCUGUUAGGUCCAGUUGGUUAUGAGAAGAAUGUAUUGUGCUGCUGUUGGGUGGAAUGGUCUGUGUAUGCCUGUUAGGUCCAGUUGGGUAAGGUACAAUUCAAGUGCAAUGUUUCCUUAUUGAUCUAUCCAUUGUGGGAAGUAGGGAUAAAAUUCUCCUACUAUUAUGGUACUGUCGUCCAUUUCUCCCUUCAGGUUUCUUAGUAUUUGCUUAAUUUAUUUAGGUCAUCUGAUGUUGGGUUCAUAUAUACUCACAGUUGUUAUAUUCUUUUGAAGAAUUGACCCCUUUAUCAUUUCUAAUGACCUUCUUUGUCUCUUGUUACAACUUUUUACCUGGUCUAUUUUGUCUGUAAUGCUACUCCUGCUCUAUUUGGUUCCAUUUGUGUGGAAUGUCUUUUUCCAUCCCUUCACUUUGAGCCUAGGUGUGUCCUCAAAGCCAAAGUGAGUCUCUUGUGGGCAGCUACAGUUAGGUCUUGUUUUUGAAUCCAUUCAGCCACUCGAUGCCUUUUGAUUGGAGAAUUUAGUCCAUUUACAUUUAAAGUAAUUAUUGAUAGGAACUUACAAAUGCUAUCUUGUUCACUGUUUUCUGCUCUUCUUGUUCCUUUCUUCUUCUUUGAUUGUCUUUCUUUGUGAAUUGAUUAUUUUCCAUAGUGGUGUCCUUUAAUUCCCUUCUCCUUAUCUUUUCUGUAUUUACUGUAGGUUUUUAUUUUGUGGUUAAUCUGAGGCUUCCAUAAAACAUAUCAUAGAUAUAACAGUCUAUUUUAACCUGAGCAACUUAACUCAAUCACACACAAAAACUCUACCGUUGCACUCCCUCUUCAUUUUUUAUGUUUUUGAUAUCACAAUUUACCUUUUUAUAUUGUGAAUCCAUUCAAAAAUUAUUGUAGCUAUAGUUAUUUUUAAUACUUUUGUCCUUUAAACCUUUAUACCAGAGUUAAGUGAUUAACAUAACACCAACUUACAGUAUUAGCAUACGUUGAAUUUGAUUAUAUACUUACCUUUACCAGCGACGUUUAUAUCUUCACAUUUUCAUGAUACUAAUUAGUCUCCUUUCAUUGCACCUUGAAGAACUCCUUUCAGCAUGUCUUGUAAGGCGGGUCUAGCUGUGAUGAACUAUCUCAGAUUUGUUUGUCUGGAACAGUUUUUAUUUCUCUUUCAUAACUGAAAAACAAUUUUUCCAGAAAACAUAUCCUUGGUUCACAGUUUUUUUCUUUCAGGACUUUGAAUAUAUCACCCCACUCAACCUGACCUGCAAGGCUUCUGCUCAGAAGUCUGCUGAUAGCCUUGUGGGGGUUCUCUCAAAUGAGAGAAAUAUUUUUCUCUUUCUGCUUUCUAGACUCUCUCUUUGUCCUUGAUCUUAGACAGUUUUAUUGUAACGUGAUAUAGAGAGAAUAUAUAGAAGGUGGCUUGUGUCAAAAUUUGGGAGUGACUCUUUAGUUUCAUGAACUUGGACGUCCAAAUCUUUCCCCAGAUUUGCGAAGUUCAGGCAUUAUUUCCUUCAAUAAGCUUUCGGCUCCUUUCUCCCUCUCUUCUCCUUCUAGGACUCCAAUGAUGCCUAGAUUGUUUCCUUUUGAGAAUGAUUCACUACUUCUUUCUUCUGCUUGGCUGAGUCUACAGUUGAAGCACUCUGCUGAGUUCUUCAGUUCAGUCAUUGUAUUUCUCAACUUUGGGAUUUCUGUUUGCAUUUUUUUAAUGAUUUCAAUUUUUUAAUUAAACUUCUCAUUUUUUUCAUGCUUUAUUUUCUGAAUUUCAUUUCGUUGUCUAUCUGUUUUCUUGUAGUUCACUGAAUUUCUUUAAGAGGAUUAUUCUGAAAACGUUGUACAGCUGCUGCAUAG
ensembl:lncRNA